GAUUAACGCUGGCGGCAUGCCUAAUACAUGCAAGUCGAACGGAAGCAGCAAUGCUUUAGUGGCGAACGGGUGAGUAACACGUAGGGAACCUACCUAUACGACGAGGAUAACUACUGGAAACGGUAGCUAAAACUGGAUAGGAUCAAUUGAGGCAUCUUGAUUGAUUUAAAGAUCCUUCGGGAUUACGUAGAGAUGGCCCUGCGGCGCAUUAGCUAGUUGGUGAGGUAACGGCCCACCAAGGCGACGAUGCGUAGCUGAGCUGAGAGGCUAAACAGCCACACUGGGACUGAGACACGGCCCAGACUCCUACGGGAGGCAGCAGUAGGGAAUUUUCGGCAAUGGGGGAAACCCUGACCGAGCAACGCCGCGUGAAUGAUGACGG
rnacentral:rRNA from 1 species